rnacentral:rRNA from 1 species
CUACGGAGGGUGCGAGCGUUAAUCGGAAUUACCGGGCGUAAAGCGUACGUAGGCGGUUGGUUAAGUUAGAUGUGAAAGCCCCGGGCUUAACCUGGGAACUGCAUUUAAAACUGGCGAACUAGAGUUGAGUAGAGGGGAGUGGAAUUUCAGGUGUAGCGGUGAAAUGCGUAGAGAUCUGAAGGAACACCAGUGGCGAAGGCGACUCCCUGGACUCGAACUGACGCUGAGGUACGAAAGCGUGGGUAGCAAACGGGAUUAGAAACCCCGGUAGUCC